rnacentral:rRNA from 1 species
CAGCAGCCGCGGUAAUACGAAGGGGGCUAGCGUUGUUCGGAAUUACUGGGCGUAAAGCGCACGUAGGCGGAUACUUAAGUCAGGGGUGAAAUCCCGGGGCUCAACCCCGGAACUGCCUUUGAUACUGGGUAUCUCGAGUCCGGAAGAGGUGAGUGGAAUUCCGAGUGUAGAGGUGAAAUUCGUAGAUAUUCGGAGGAACACCAGUGGCGAAGGCGGCUCACUGGUCCGGUACUGACGCUGAGGUGCGAAAGCGUGGGGAGCAAACAGGAUUAGAUACCCGUGUAGUCCCUGUCUCUUAUAC